rnacentral:lncRNA from 1 species
CAACACUUAUUAAUAGCAGCUAUUCUUGAACCGCUUCCCCCACAAACACACAGAUGCCUGGGUUAUUUCCCCACCCGGUGUAAUGAAUCGGUGCACAUCUUAGAGUUACCCAACCAACCACGCAAUAUAUCAACCUCAAAUUCUCAAUACAAAUCCAUAUGGUCGCAUAAAUUGAUGUAGGCUAGCUUCAGGGGAAAGGUAAAAAAAUUGAUUUAGGAGGGGAAAGGUAAAAGAAGAGGUAGACAUCUUAAAUUAGCAAAGAAAACCGUCGAGAAUUACGUGGUCAAAAGGUACACUGAGGGUCAAAAAUUUGCAGUUCUAGGUGCAAUCCAUGGCAUGCAGCUACACAGAAUAACGUUUCUGAAGAAGAUUACACAGGUCAGGAAAGCAUAGUCGUAGCACUUCAAGUCACGGCUACAGCUAGGAUGCUCACGUUACCUUCAGCUGCGAAGGCCAAGCUAAGGAACUCCUUUAAUUUUCUGGAACAAAGGGACUCGACUGUCGGGACAACAUGCGAUGGAUCUUCAGGGGUAGACGACGGCGUAGGCGCGGCGGCGUGGCUGCGAGCCGGCCACUAGAGCCGCCACGACGACGGCGAGGACGAGCAGCGCCAUGACGAUGUCCUCGUCCAGCGACAGCAGGCACAGCUUCUUCCCCAUGCUCUCCUUCUCUUCCUUUAUUUCUUUCCUUCUCCGAUGAAUGAAUCGAUCCCUGCAGAGUAGUAUAUAUAUGACGUGUGUAUACAGUGGACAUUUCAGAAGAAAGAAAAACUACACAUGCAAUUGGGAGGCUCUGUCUCUCCGGGUCAACUCAGCCGCGAGACCACAUCUUGAUGUCUUUAAUUAAACUUCUUCGGUUUUGAGAAAUUAAUUAGACUUGCGGAAAAGGGUCAUGCGACACAUGCGGCUGUUAGUUUUUUGCCGGCGUAUGGGCCCGGACGCCCGG